UUGGCUCAGAACGAACGCUGGCGGCAUGCCUUACACAUGCAAGUCGAACGGCAGCACGGGGGCAACCCUGGUGGCGAGUGGCGAACGGGUGAGUAAUACAUCGGAACGUGUCCUGUAGUGGGGGAUAGCCCGGCGAAAGCCGGAUUAAUACCGCAUACGAUCUACGGAAGAAAGCGGGGGAUCUUAGGACCUCGUGCUAUAGGGGCGGCCGAUGGCAGAUUAGCUAGUUGGUGGGGUAAAGGCCUACCAAGGCGACGAUCUGUAGCUGGUCUGAGAGGACGACCAGCCACAUCUGGGACUGAG
rnacentral:rRNA from 1 species